GAUGAACGCUGGCGGCGCGCCUAAUACAUGCAAGUCGAGCGAACGGACGAGAAGCUUGCUUCUCUGAUGUUAGCGGCGGACGGGUGAGUAACACGUGGAUAACCUACCUAUAAGACUGGGAUAACUUCGUGAAACCGUAGCUAAUACCGGAUAAUAUUUUGAACCGCAUGGUUCAAAAGUGAAAGACGGUCUUGCUUUCACUUAUAGAUGGAUCCGCGCUGCAUUAGCUAGUUGGUAAGGUAACGGCUUACCAAGGCAACGAUGCAUAGCCGACCUGAGAGGGUGAUCGGCCACACUGGAACUGAGACACGGUCCAGACUCCUACGGGAGGCAGCAGUAGGGAAUCUUCCGCAAUGGGCGAAAGCCUGACGGAGCAACGCCGCGUGAGUGAUGAAGGUCUUCGGAUCGUAAAACUCUGUUAUUAGGGAAGAACAUAUGUGUAAGUAACUGUGCACAUCUUGACGGUACCUAAUCAGAAAGCCACGGCUAACUACGUG
rnacentral:rRNA from 1 species